AUUCAGUUGGCCUUCUGCGGCCGCGCUGACCGGUCUCUACCAAAGUUCGGAUCCCAUGAUUGGGCCGGAUCGGUUGCGUGUGGUCGUGGUGUCCGACGCAUUUUUUCCCGUCCUAAGGACGCCGCAGCCGGUUGGGAAUCGACGGCCUGAAAGGUGGACGCCGGCAGGUGGCCGGUGGCGUCGCUUCGGCUUCGCCGCCGGUUGUUAGCCUGUUCGCCUGUGGCUCGUCGCCCGACCGAGGUAUCACGAGGCCCUUUUGGGCUCCUUCCGCCUCCUCCCUUUAAAGGAAGCCGGGAUUAUGACUCGGCAGGCGCUUGUAGGUGGUGCAGCCGCACGCUGUAACUGCGUGGGCGGCGCCUUCGCGACGUCGAUGGCCGUAUCGUUCCCGUGGGAGUGCUGGCGGCUGGCGGCGAGUAGAUCGGUCACCCACCCGACCCGUCUUGAAACACGGACCAAGGAGUCUAACAUGUGCGCGAGUCAAUGGGUCUUGAACAGGCCCAGAGGCGCAAUGAAAGCAAAGGCCGGCAUUGACGCCGGCUGUGUUGGGACCUCUCGGCCUACGAGUCGAGGGAGCACCAACGACCCGUCCUGUCCGAUUUACCUCGGUUGGGCGGAGUUUGAGCGUACACGUUGGGACCCGAAAGAUGGUGAACUAUGCCCGGGCAGGACGAGGCCAGAGGAAACUCUGGUGGAGGUCCGUAGCGGUUCUGACGUGCAAAU
rnacentral:rRNA from 3 species